UGAUUUUUGCCAUGUUUUUCUUCAAGGUCAGGACAGCAUUCAUGUGACAAAGUAAAAGAUAGCAUCUCACAUCCCUGAGACAGACUAUUGGUCCAUUUGGCUCAUUGUCAUCUACACAAACUAGCAGUGGCUUACUGGGUUUUCAGAAUUGUUCCUCCACAACACUUCAGAACGUUGAAUACCAGAAGAAGUUACAACAUUCUCACUGAUUUAUUAUUUUUCCCAACACGGUUUCCUGUCUGUUGAGAAAUCUGCUUUUUUUAUUGCAAAGGAAUAAUUAUGAAUAUUCUUUCCAUCCCUGAGUUUAUGCAUGUGUGUUUACAUGUGUU
rnacentral:lncRNA from 11 species